UACGGGGGGUGCGAGCGUUGUCCGGAAUCACUGGGCGUAAAGGGCGCGUAGGUGGUUUGAUAAGGGUGUAGUGAAAGUCCGGGGCUCAACCCCGGAUCUGCCGUGCCGACUGUCAAACUCGAGGACUGUAGAGGCAGACGGAAUUCCGGGUGUAGCGGUGGAAUGCGUAGAGAUCCGGAGGAAGACCGGUGGCGAAGGCGGUCUGCUGGGCAGUUUCUGACACUGAGGCGCGACAGCGUGGGGAGCAAACAGG
rnacentral:rRNA from 1 species